rnacentral:rRNA from 1 species
AAGUCACAACGGUAAAAGAUGAGCAUGCGUCCCAUUAGUUAGUUGGUAAGGUAACGGCUUACCAAGACUACGAUGGGUAGGGGUCCUGAGAGGGAGAUCCCCCACACUGGUACUGAGACACGGACCAGACUCCUACGGGAGGCAGCAGUGAGGAAUAUUGGACAAUGGGCGCAAGCCUGAUCCAGCCAUGCCGCGUGCAGGAUGACGGUCCUAUGGAUUGUAAACUGCUUUUAUACGAGAAGAAACACUACUUCGUGAAGUAGCUUG